rnacentral:rRNA from 1 species
AACGAACACUGGCGGCGUGCCUAACACAUGCAAGUCGUGCGAGAAAGUUCCUUCGGGAGCGAGUAAAGCGGCGCACGGGUGAGUAACACGUAGGUAACCUGCCCCCCAGUCUGGAACAACUAGAGGAAACUCUAGCUAAUGCCGGAUGAGACCACGAUCCCUUCGGGGGUUGCGGCCAAAGAUGGCCUCUACUUGUAAGCUAUCGCUGAGGGAUGGGCCUGCGGGCCAUUAGCUUGUUGGUGAGGUAACGGCUCACCAAGGCUGUGAUGGCUAGCUGGUCUGAGAGGAUGACCAGUCACACUGGGACUGAGACACGGCCCAGACUCCUACGGGAGGCAGCAGUGGGGAAUAUCGCGCAAUGGGCGAAAGCCUGACGCAGCGACGCCGCGUGGGUGAUGAAGGCC